UUUGGUUUCAAGUAUGACAAUGACAAUGACUUUAGUACAGCUCAGCUUUCGGAAACUGUUUAAUGCCUUUACGUUUUGAGGUACUGCAUCGUUGCAGGGAAUUUUCUCCCCUCAAAAUAUGAACCACAAGCUCCAUCACGCACAAACAGCGUUCUGGAAGGAGAAUGAAGGGUUAUUUAGAGCUGUUUUGACAUUUGAGCCUGAGGAAUGGCUAAAGAUACAGUUAUCCUUCUGUGUAGGGAGGAAGCUUCAUAGAUGAGCACCAGGCAGCCUCCCAGCCCUGCACAGAGCCAACCCUGUUCCAGGGAGAGCAGGCAGAGAAGGAAAUCAAUAGUGAAAACAUGGCUGCAGGCUCACACAUUUUUAUCUGUCUUUGAACGAGUCAGCUUUAAUUUAGCUUUGAUCUCAAUUUGCUGCUUUUGGGAUGGCUUUGGCUGCACACUCAACAGGAACAGAGUCUUCAUAUAUCUUUUCCUUUAUUGAGAGGGUCUCUGAAACUCCAACAUAGAUUUUGAUAUUGUGAGUUUCCCCAGCUGAUGAAUGAAGAAGAGAACACAUCACAGGACAGCGGUGUAUGAAGGUACACAUCCACCAAUCACAAACAGCGCAGUUAACAUGGACAGGAUAUAAUGAAUGAGUUGAAAUGUAUUCACUGAAUGAUUUAUGAGCAAAGAGAAGAAAACGUAAGACAAUAUUAGGGAAUAGAAUGAAGAGACACUCAGAAAUAGUGAACGAAGGGGGCUCCCUUCCCUGUGAACUAACAGGUUGACAUGCAGCGCAGCUGGCCUUGUUCUCACUGCUCUGCCAACCAAGCCACAAAACAUCCUCAUUAGGGUAGUUGAACAAAUGGGGUAUUGAUAUUAUGAAAUCAAAUAAGGCCAUUCAAAGAUGGCUGCCUUUCGCUCGCCUGUUUCUAUACCAGAACUUUCAUAGGGGGGGUUUGUUUGGGAACUUGUUUCUCUAUUUUGGAACAGAGACAAAAGGGUAGGAGAAGGUCUCUGGGCAGAGAAAAGGACAGUGCUUUGCUAGGGAGAAAAGGAAAGGGUCUAAUCUAAUUUGGUUGAAGCAGGAAAUGUGUGUGUGUGUGUCUGUACAUGCCUGUGUGUGUGUGUGUGUGUGUGUGUGUUGUGUGUGUGCACGUGCUCGUGAGUGUGCGUGGCUGUGCUGCACAGUGUAAGCGGACUGUGGGAAUGGUACAGGAGGGCUGUGGCUCUGAAUAGAACCUCCAGAGCCAGAAGCAGUGGGGAGUCUCCCCAGAUGUACUCAUUCCAGGCCGGCCACUCAAAGAGGGAUUAGAAAAGAGAAGGCCUUCCUGAUUAGCGAUUCACACUCAAGUGCCCCCACGAGGACCCUGGUGCUCUGCCUGGAGCUAGUGAACAGACUCAGAGGGGACGCCUUCUUCUCCUCAUAUGCGUGUCAAAUGACGACCACUUGAAAGGAGGAUGAUAGAUAUCAUCAUGACCAGCAAAACAAUCAUGAAAGAGAAGGAGAGACCAAGAAGAAAGGAGUGAGCAAGAACAAAGCCGCCGGAAUUACAACAAACCAGUAGACUGUGUAUUCUUAUUAAGCUAUGUGACAAUGCUAUCUUGUAUGUUUCAUAAAGAAAACGCAGAUGGAUAAUAAGGGGGGAUGUCUGCUUUAGAAAUAUGUCAGACUGUGUUGCCUGAACAUCAGAUGAUCAGUACACGGAGAACACCAUUGCUAGGGCCUUGGGAAUGCAGGGCUUUCGGUUCAAAUUAAAGUGUCAACUUUUUAGCUACUACGCAUGAGUUACAAAAGUCAAUGUGAAUAGGAAAUCUAGCAUGAUCUAGCAUGUUAGAUAUAAUCCGUGUAGAAGUCAUUUUGAUUUCGAUAGAAACAAAAUGUAAUUAUAUAUUUACAUGUGAUAAAAAGAGAAUUUGAAACACAGGAAAAUAUUAUAAGCAUAGUUUGACGACAAGAAACUGCUAACUUGCAGGUAUGUGGGAGAUGAGAAGGACAGUACUAUGUGUUCAUAAUAACCUGUAUUUAUGUUCCUGCCAUGUCCACACAUAGAGCACCAACAGCUGAAAUGGCACCACUGAAAUAUGCAGUGCUAAAACUUUUAGACACGCUGGUGCCAUGUUUCUCAACUUGCCCGUACACAUUUCUGAAAUAUUUCUAAAAGAACUUGUAACUGAUAAAAACUCUUGUAAAAGUGUACUAAAAGCUUCCCUGUUUACUUUUGAUCCUGAUUUUACCCUUGGUGAAAACCAUGGCUAGACUUGGGUAUAAAUCUCACAACCAAAGACUUUUACAAGGUAAUGUGAUUUAAGCUGUG
ensembl:lncRNA